UGGGGAAUCUUGGUCAAUGGGCGCAAGCCUGAACCAGCGACGCCGCGUGAGUGAUGAAGGCCUUCGGGUUGUAAAGCUCUGUGGGGAGAGACGAAAGAGCACGUUCUAACAGGACGUGUGUUGACGGUAUCUCCUUAGCAAGCACCGGCUAACUCUGUGCCAGCAGCCGCGGUAAGACAGAGGGUGCAAACGUUGCUCGGAAUCACUGGGCGUAAAGGGCGUGUAGGCGGGAGGAUAAGUCGGGCGUGAAAUCCCUGGGCUCAACCCAGGAACUGCACUCGAAACUGUCUUCCUCGAGUACCGGAGAGGAAAGCGGAAUACCUGGUGUAGAGGUGAAAUUCGUAGAUAUCAGGUGGAACACCAGUGGCGAAGGCGGCUUUCUGGACGGUAACUGACGCUG
rnacentral:rRNA from 1 species